UACGUAGGGGGCUAGCGUUGUCCGGAAUCAUUGGGCGUAAAGCGCGUGUAGGCGGCCCGGUAAGUCCGCUGUGAAAGUCGGGGGCUCAACCCUGGAAUGCCGGUGGAUACUGUCGGGCUCGAGUGCGGAAGAGGCGAGUGGAAUUCCUGGUGUAGCGGUGAAAUGCGCAGAUAUCAGGAGGAACACCGAUUGCGAAGGCAGCUCGCUGGGACGUUACUGACGCUGAGACGCGAAAGCGUGGGGAGCAAACAGG
rnacentral:rRNA from 1 species